AAAUCAACCGAGAUUCCGAAAGUAGCGGCGAGCGAAAUUGGACUAGCCCUUAAGCUUUACACGCGUUAGACGAACGGUCUGGAAAGUCCGACGAUACAGGGUGAUAGUCCCGUAGUUGACGACGUGUGUUCAGUGAAAUCGAGUAGGGCGGGACACGUGAUAUCCUGUCUGAAUAUGGGGGGACCAUCCUCCAAGGCUAAAUACUACUGACUGACCGAUAGUGAACCAGUACCGUGAGGGAAAGGCGAAAAGAACCCCUGUGAGGGGAGUGAAAUAGAACCUGAAACCGUGUACGUACAAGCAGUAGGAGCAGGCUUUGUCCUGUGACUGCGUACCUUUUGUAUAAUGGGUCAGCGACUUAUAUUCAGUGGCAAGGUUAACCAUCUAGGGGAGCCGUAGGGAAACCGAGUCUUAACUGGGCGUUCAGUCUCUGGAUAUAGACCCGAAACCAGGUGAUCUAGCCAUGGGCAGGUUGAAGGUUGAGUAACAUCAACUGGAGGACCGAACCGACUAAUGUUGAAAAAUUAGCGGAUGACUUGUGGCUAGGGGUGAAAGGCCAAUCAAACCUGGAGAUAGCUGGUUCUCCCCGAAAGCUAUUUAGGUAGCGCCUCGGACGAAUACUACUGGGGGUAGAGCACUGUUAAGGCUAGGGGGUCAUCCCGACUUACCAACCCUUUGCAAACUCCGAAUACCAGUAAGUACUAUCCGGGAGACACACGGCGGGUGCUAACGUCCGUCGUGGAGAGGGAAACAACCCAGACCGCCAGCUAAGGUCCCAAAUUACUACUAAGUGGGAAACGAUGUGGGAAGGCUCAGACAGCCAGGAUGUUGGCUUAGAAGCAGCCAUCAUUUAAAGAAAGCGUAAUAGCUCACUGGUCGAGUCGGCCUGCGCGGAAGAUGUAACGGGGCUAAGUAGUAAACCGAAGCUGCGGCAAUACUCUUUGAG
rnacentral:rRNA from 1 species